CCAUGACCACCGCCUCUGCCACCUGUAAGAUCAGACCGGCCAAGGAGAUCUGGUAUCUGGCCUACAUGGGAGGCAACACAGAGGUGAUUUUACCCCUGAGCUUGUAAUUUGGUGUCGUUUUCGACCUUCUUUUCUCCUUGCUGACAGGUGGAGAGUGAAAGACAGCUUGUGAAGGCAAAACCUAGAAAUUUCAGCGUGUGCUUUUGUUGGAGUGUUCUUUGGAG